rnacentral:rRNA from 1 species
GGCGAACGCUGGCGGCGUGCCUAAUACAUGCAAGUAGAACGCUGAAGGAGGAGCUUGCUUCUCUGGAUGAGUUGCGAACGGGUGAGUAACGCGUAGGUAACCUGCCUGGUAGCGGGGAUAACUAUUGGAAACGAUAGCUAAUACCGCAUAAGAGUAGAUGUUGCAUGACAUUUGCUUAAAAGGUGCAAUUGCAUCACUACCAGAUGGACCUGCGUUGUAUUAGCUAGUUGGUGGGGUAACGGCUCACCAAGGCGACGAUACAUAGCCGACCUGAGAGGGUGAUCGGCCACACUGGGACUGAGACACGGCCCAGACUCCUACGGGAGGCAGCAGUAGGGAAUCUUCGGCAAUGGACGGAAGUCUGACCGAGCAACGCCGCGUGAGUGAAGAAGGUUUUCGGAUCGUAAAGCUCUGUUGUAAGAGAAGAACGAGUGUGAGAGUGGAAAGUUCACACUGUGACGGUAGCUUACCAGAAAGGGACGGCUAACUACGUG